GACGAACGCUGGCGGCGUGCUUAACACAUGCAAGUCGAACGGAAAGGCCUGCUUUCCCUUGUGGUUUGCGGGUACUCGAGUGGCGAACGGGUGAGUAACACGUGAGUGAUCUGCCCCCAACUUGGGUAUAAGCCUGGGAAACUGGGUCUAAUUCCCGAUAGGACUGCAGGGUGGUGCCUGUGGUGGAACACGAUUUUCUAGUGGUUGGGGAUGAGCUCGCGGCCUAUCAGCUUGUUGGAGGGGUAAUGGCCUACCAAGGCGGCGACGGGUAGCCGGAGUGAGAGGGUGGACGGCCACAUUGGGACUGAGAUACGGCCCAGACUCCUACGGGAGGCAGCAGUGGGGAAUAUUGCACAAUGGGCGGAAGCCUGAUGCAGCGACGCCGCGUGGGGGAUGACGGCCUUCGGGUUGUAAACUCCUUUCGACCGCGAGGAAGCCACCUGGUUGGAAGGGUGGUGACGGUAGUGGUAGAAGAAGCACCGGCUAACUACGUG
rnacentral:rRNA from 1 species